rnacentral:rRNA from 1 species
AGUGAACGCUGGCGGUAGGCCUAACACAUGCAAGUCGAACGGCAGCACAGUAAGAGCUUGCUCUUACGGGUGGCGAGUGGCGGACGGGUGAGGAAUACAUCGGAAUCUACUUUUUCGUGGGGGGUAACGUAGGGAAACUUACGCUAAUACCGCAUACGACCUACGGGUGAAAGCAGGGGAUCUUCGGACCUUGCGCGAUUGAAUGAGCCGAUGUCGGAUUAGCUAGUUGGCGGGGUAAAGGCCCACCAAGGCGACGAUCCGUAGCUGGUCUGAGAGGAUGAUCAGCCACACUGGAACUGAGACACGGUCCAGACUCCUACGGGAGGCAGCAGUGGGGAAUAUUGGACAAUGGGCGCAAGCCUGAUCCAGCCAUACCGCGUAGGUGAAGAAGGCCUUCGGGUUGUAAAGCCCUUUUGUUGGGAAAGAAAAGCAGCAGGUUAAUACCCCGCUGUUCUGACGGUACCCAAAGAAUAAGCACCGGCUAACUUCGUG